GACGAACGCUGGCGGCGUGCUUAACACAUGCAAGUCGAACGGAAAGGCCCUGCUUUUGUGGGGUGCUCGAGUGGCGAACGGGUGAGUAACACGUGAGUAACCUGCCCUUGACUUUGGGAUAACUUCAGGAAACUGGGGCUAAUACCGGAUAGGAGCUCCUGCUGCAUGGUGGGGGUUGGAAAGUUUCGGCGGUUGGGGAUGGACUCGCGGCUUAUCAGCUUGUUGGUGGGGUAGUGGCUUACCAAGGCUUUGACGGGUAGCCGGCCUGAGAGGGUGACCGGCCACAUUGGGACUGAGGUACGGCCCAGACUCCUAAGGGAGGCAGAAGUGGGGAAUACUGAACAAUGGGCGGAAGCCUGAUGCAGCAACGCCGCGUGCGGGAUGACGGCCUUCGGGUUGUAAACCGCUUUCGCCUGUGACGAAGCGUGAGUGACGGUAAUGGGUAAAGAAGCACCGGCUAACUACGUG
rnacentral:rRNA from 1 species